rnacentral:tRNA from 2 species
GGGCCUGUAGCUCCAAUUGGCGAGAGCACUUGCCUUGCAAGCAAGCCGUUGUCGGUUCAAAUCCGACCAGGUCCACCA